CAUGGGGGUCUGAUGGGACAGGGGUCUGGACCGGCACACAUGGGGGUCUGAUGGGACAGGGGUCUGGACCGGCACACAUGGGGGUCUGAUGGGACAGGGGUCUGGACUGGCACACAUGGGGGUCUGAUGGGACAUACAGUUGUGGGUCUGGACCAGCACAUAUGGG